GAUGAACGCUGGCGGCGUGCUUAACACAUGCAAGUCGAACGGUGAACACGGAGCUUGCUCUGUGGGAUCAGUGGCGAACGGGUGAGUAACACGUGAGCAACCUGCCCCUGACUCUGGGAUAAGCGCUGGAAACGGCGUCUAAUACUGGAUAUGUGACGUGACCGCAUGGUCUGCGUUUGGAAAGAUUUUUCGGUUGGGGAUGGGCUCGCGGCCUAUCAGCUUGUUGGUGAGGUAAUGGCUCACCAAGGCGUCGACGGGUAGCCGGCCUGAGAGGGUGACCGGCCACACUGGGACUGAGACACGGCCCAGACUCCUGCGGGAGGCAGCAGUGGGGAAUAUUGCACAAUGGGCGCAAGCCUGAUGCGACGCCGCGUGAGGGAUGACGGCCUUCGGGUUGUAAACCUCUUUUAGCAGGGAAGAAGCGAAAGUGACGGUACCUGCAGAAAAAGCGCCGGCUAACUACGUG
rnacentral:rRNA from 1 species